rnacentral:rRNA from 1 species
UACGUAGGGGGCGAGCGUUGUCCGAAGUUACUGGGCGUAAAGAGCGCGUAGGCGGGUCUUUAAGUGAGGGGUGAAAGGUUCAGGGCUCAACCCGGACACUGCCUUUCAUACUGGGGACCUUGAGUGCGGGAGGGCGAGUGGAAUGGUCGGUGUAGCGGUGAAAUGCGUAGAUAUCGAUCGGAACACCCAUGGCGAAGGCAGCUCGCUGGCCUGCAACUGACGCUGAGGCGCGAAAGCGUGGGGAGCAAACAGG